GGGGCAGCAACCUGCUGUGGGCCCUGCCUCUUGCCAGCCUAAGUCUGCACUCAGAGGGCCAUAUUCCUAAAAUGGCUUGUUCUUAUACAGACAGUGCCAACAUGCCACAGCACGAGGCAUGGAAGAGUCUGUGUGAUUGAUGUGGUUGGUACAUCGAUCUAUGUAUAUCCUUAAUGUGACAGGAAACAAUGGUCCUGGUUUGAUAAUCAUGCUAUGCUGGCUUCUGUGUCCAACAGCGAGUCCUGAUAGUGUUCCAGCACUAGGAGAACACAUCUGUCACAUCUCUUCUGUCCUCUGAGCACCACUAAGGUCCAGGGACAGACAUUUUAAUGUGCUCAAUCUGAAAAGAAGAGAGAACCUUAUUCCACUCUGGG